UGCAAGUCGAGCGGACAGAUGGGAGCUUGCUCCCUGAUGUUAGCGGCGGACGGGUGAGUAACACGUGGGUAACCUGCCUGUAAGACUGGGAUAACUCCGGGAAACCGGGGCUAAUACCGGAUGGUUGUCUGAACCGCAUGGUUCAGACAUAAAAGGUGGCUUCGGCUACCACUUACAGAUGGACCCGCGGCGCAUUAGCUAGUUGGUGAGGUAACGGCUCACCAAGGCGACGAUGCGUAGCCAACCUGAGAGGGUGAUCGGCCACACUGGGACUGAGACACGGCCCAGACUCCUACGGGAGGCAGCAGUAGGGAAUCUUCCGCAAUGGACGAAAGUCUGACGGAGCAACGCCCCGUGAGUGAUGAAGGUUUUCGGAUCGUAAAGCUCUGUUGUUAGGGAAGAACAAGUGCCGUUCAAAUAGGGCGGCACCUUGACGGUACCUAACCAGAAAGCCACGGCUAACUACGUGCCAGCAGCCGCGGUAAUACGUAUGUGGCAAGCGUUGUCCGGAAUUAUUGGGCGUAAAGGGCUCGCAGGCGGUUUCUUAAGUCUGAUGUGAAAGCCCCCGGCUCAACCGGGGAGGGUCAUUGGAAACUGGGGAACUUGAGUGCAGAAGAGGAGAGUGGAAUUCCACGUGUAGCGGUGAAAUGCGUAGAGAUGUGGAGGAACACCAGUGGCGAAGGCGACUCUCUGGUCUGUAACUGACGCUGAGGAGCGAACGCGU
rnacentral:rRNA from 1 species